CUAUAGGUGGAUCCCUGUGGCAAUCACCAUUAACUGGUUGAUGGGACUUGACCAAUGAGAAGGCAGGAACCCGACCAAAAGAGGCGGAGUUUUCGGUUUAAAAGCAGUACACUGACACCAUUAUGGCUCAUGGCUCACUGUUAGCUUGUUUGUUUGUUUGUUUGUUUUCUUUCUUUCUUUCUUUCUUUCCCUUCCACCCUUCCACCCUUACACUAGCUCCCUUGGUUUGAGAGCAGAAAAGCAUCUCAGGAAACGCAUUUCAAACUUUGAGGCAGAUGGGCUACAGCAGCGAAAGACCCGGUCCUGUCAGCCAAGAACAGGAAUCUGAGGCUACAGUGGGCACAUGAUCACCAAAAUGGGACAGAUUUGGAAAAACAUCACCUGGUCUGCUGAAUCACAAUUUCUGCUGCAACAUGCAGAUGCUAGGGUCAAAAUAUGGUGUCAAGUAUGAACCCAUGGACCCAACCUGCCUUGUCACAACAGUUUAGGCUGGUGGUGCUGGUGUAAUGGUGUGAGGAAUGUUUUUUGGCACACAUUGGGCCUCUUAAUUCCAAUCGAGCAUUGUUUGAAUGCUGUCUGAAGUCAUCUUAAAGUGGUUCCAUGACCAUUGCAGUGUGUCCAGUGUACUUCAAUUGUGCUGUAUUAAUUCUUCAUUAUAGUAUUAAUGUGUGUAUUUGUGGAACUUAGGGUGUCGAUUUAAAGUGCUACCAAAAUAAGUUUUUAAGGGACUGUUGCCAGUUCUUGAGGAAAUCCUAGUUCAGACAUGUUACCUUUGGCAUGCUAUUAUCUAAAAUCUGUUUAAUUCAUGAAAUUUAAUAUCUGCUUGACUAUUAAUAAAUUUAUUGGUAACUGUGA